UCCUCUGCCAUCUAGGAGUUAAAUCCCUUUGUUUAUGAACCCUAGUCACACCUCCCUGCAUGUGACUUGCACAGCCUUCAAUAAACACUUCCUGUAAAGAGAGCCCUAUUUAGGCUUUCUUUAUUGCAAGUUCUGUUUAAUUAAGAUUUUCUUAUCCCCUGCUAUGUUAAUAGCUUGCUAGACCCUGCAAGAGCCUCCUGUAUGUGAUUAAAGUUCAAUUUAGAGAUUGAGAUACAAAUAUUUAAGGUAAAUUACAUCUGUUUGAAAGUG